CAAUAGCGUAUAUUAAAGUUGUUGCGGUUAAAAAGCUCGUAGUUGGAUUUCUGCCGAGGACGACCGGUCCGCCCUUUGGGUGAGUAUCUGGCUCGGCCUGGGCAUCUUCUUGGAGAACGUGUCUGCACUUGACUGUGUGGUGCGGUAUCCAGGACUUUUACUUUGAGGAAAUUAGAGUGUUUCAAGCAGGCACACGCCUUGAAUACAUUAGCAUGGAAUAAUACUAUAGGAUCUUGAUCCUAUUUUGUUGGUUUCUAGGAGCAAGAUAAUGAUUAAUAGGGACAAUUGGGGGCAUUCGUAUUAUCGCGUCAGAGGUGAAAUUCUUGGAUCGCGAUACGACGAACAACUGCGAAAGCAUUUGCCAAGGAUGUUUUCAUUGAUCAAGAACGAAAGUUAGGGGAUCGAAGACGAUCAGAUACCAU
rnacentral:rRNA from 1 species